UCGCAAUCUUCUUCAUCAAUAUGAACUCUCCGAAGAAAUUACGCUGUUAUCCCUAAGGUAACUUGAUCUUAUAAUCAAUAAAAUUGGAUCAAAAAAAUCAUUAAUUUAUGAAAAAAAAUAUUAAAAGUUAAGAAAUUUUUAAUGUCGCCCCAACAAAAUUAUUUAUUCUAUAAAAAAUAAUAAAAAACUAAAUUAUAUUAAUAUAUAAAUAAUAAAGUUCUAUAGGGUCUUCUCGUCCUAUAGAAAAAUUUUAGCUUUUUAACUAAAAAAUUAAAUUCAAAGUAAUUAUCCAAAGAAAGUUAGUUUUUCAUCAAACCAUUCAUACUAGCCUUCAAUUAAAAGACAAAUGAUUAUGCUACCUUCGUACAGUUAAAAUACCGCAGCCAUUUAAUUCUUUAAAAUCAUUGAGCAGGUUCAAUCUUAAAUAAAAAUCUAAAGAAC
rnacentral:rRNA from 1 species